CCCAUUCACUCACUCACUCACUCAUUCACUCACCCAUUCCCUCACUCACCCACUCACUCAUUCACUAACCCAUUCACUCACUCAAUCACUCACUCAUUCACUCAUUCACUAACCCAUUCACUCACUCAUUCACUCCCUAAUUUACUCACUCAGCCAUUCACUAACUCAUUCUUUCACUCACUCUCCCAUUCACUCAUUCACUCACUUAUUCAUUCACUCAAUCAUUCACUCACUCAAUCAUUCACUCAUUCACUCACUCAUUCACCCCUUCACUCAUUCACUCACUCACUCAUUCACUCACCCUUUAUUCACACACUCAGUCAUUUAUUGACUCAUUCACUCACUAAUUGGUUCAUUCACUCACUCACUUCUUCACUCACUCAUUUACUUGUUCACUCACUGACUCAUUCACUCACUCUUUCCUUCACUCAUUCAUUCACUCAUCCACUCAUUUGCUCACUCACUCAUUCACCCACUCACCCAUUCACUAAGUCAUUCAUUCACUCACUCACUCACCCAUCACUCAUUUAUUCCCUCGGUCACUCACUCAUUCACUCACUUACUCAUUCACUCACUUAUUCACUUACUCACUUAUUCACUCACUCACUCAUUCACUCACUUAUUCACCUACUCACUUAUUCACUCACUCAUUCACUAAAUCGCUCAUUCAUUCACUUACUUAUUCAUUCAUCCAUCCAUUUACUCACUCAUUCACUCAUUCACUCAGUAAUUCACUCACUCACUCACGUUCACUCAUUCACUCAUUUACCCACUCACUCACUCACUCAUUUACUCCUUCACUCAUCCACUCACUCACUCAUUCAUUCACUGACUGACUCACUCACUCACUCAUUCACUCAUUUACUCACUCAUUUACUCCUUCAUUCACUCACUCCUUCAUUCAUUCAUUCAGCAGCACCCAUGACAGGUUCACUCUGUCCUGGGCUCUGCUGUUGCCCUGGGCCUGCAGCAGGGAAUAGUCAAAGAUCUCUGGGAAUAGUCAAAGAUCUCUGA
rnacentral:lncRNA from 1 species